UAAUACGUAGGUGGCGAGCGUUAUCCGGAUUUAUUGGGUUUAAAGGGUGCGUAGGCGGGAGAUUAAGUCGAUGGUGAAAGGUAGCAGCUCAACUGUUUUACAUGCUGUCGAUACUGAUUUUCUUGAGUUAUUGGAAGGCAGAUAGAAUUUCUGGUGUAGCGGUGAAAUGCUUAGAUACCAGAAGGAAUACCGAUUGCGAAGGCAGUCUGCUGCAAAUAUACUGACGCUGAGGCACGAAAGUAUGGGGAUCAAACAGG
rnacentral:rRNA from 1 species